UCAGGAUGGCCGAGCCUCCCUGCCCCGCCCCCCACGCUGGAGCUGCGCACAGACUCCGCCCUUCGCACCUCUAUUACGUCACAGUCCAGCUCCGACGGAACCUUUUAAAGGGGCCGCGCGCUCGGGGCGCUAUGGCUGUUUGGGUAGUUCUGCGGCUCUGACUGGGUCCCUGGGACUCCGGGAGACCCUCGGCCGGGCACAUCUGAUGUUGCGGCCCUGUUCUCCUGUCGCAGUCAGGGUCUUCGAGGGAAUGGGGCCGGUGGAGCAAAGAAGAGGUCGGGGUCUCGGUGCCAGUGUGGCCAGAAUCAUCUUGGCCUCCUCAGAGGACCACAGAGCACCCAACCUCAACAGCAAACCUCUUCAUAGAACAAUCCUCAGUGCACAGGGGCUUACACAGUUGAGAACAUGCGGACAGACUUUGACCACUCAUCAGAAUGAUGUUAUGAACUUCAAACUUCCUUUGUGACCACAAUGAG
rnacentral:lncRNA from 1 species